rnacentral:sRNA from 1 species
AUUUGACACAAUCUGUUUCAUAACAUGCUGUAAAUCCUGGUUUCUCUUCUAUGGUAUCUUGAGUUACAUUGACAGCUCCUGUUUGAACUUUUGUUCUUUUGUGGAUUGAUUUUUCAUUUCAUGGCAGGCUCCCUUCACGUGGGGGAUGAGAUCCUAGAAAUCAAUGGCACAAAUGUGACAAAUCAUUCAGUGGAUCAGCUGCAGAAGGCGAUGAAAGAAACCAAAGGAAUGAUCUCAUUAAAAGUAAUUCCCAACCAGCAAAGCCGUCUUCCUGCACUACAGAUGUUCAUGAGAGCGCAGUUUGACUAUGAUCCCAAAAAGGACAAUCUGAUCCCUUGCAAGGAGGCGGGACUGAAGUUUGCUACUGGGGACAUUAUCCAGAUUAUCAACAAGGAUGACAGCAAUUGGUGGCAGGGACGGGUGGAAGGCUCCUCCAAGGAGUCAGCAGGAUUGAUCCCUUCCCCUGAGCUGCAGGAAUGGCGAGUGGCAAGUAUGGCUCAGUCAGCUCCUAGCGAAGCCCCGAGCUGCAGUCCCUUUGGGAAGAAGAAGAAGU